rnacentral:tRNA from 1 species
GCCUGGCUGGCUUAGUCAGUUGGAGCACGAGACUCUUGAUCUUGGGGUUGUGAGUUCAAGCCCCACAUUGGGUA